GAUGAACGCUGGCGGCGUGCCUAAUACAUGCAAGUCGAGCGAACAGACGAGGAGCUUGCUCCUCUGACGUUAGCGGCGGACGGGUGAGUAACACGUGGAUAACCUACCUAUAAGACUGGGAUAACUUCGGGAAACCGGAGCUAAUACCGGAUAAUAUAUUGAACCGCAUGGUUCAAUAGUGAAAGACGGUUUUGCUGUCACUUAUAGAUGGAACCGCGCCGCAUUAGCUAGUUGGUAAGGUAACGGCUUACCAAGGCAACGAUGCGUAGCCGACCUGAGAGGGGGAUCGGCACAAUGGGAAGUGAGAACAGUGCCAACCCCCACAGGAGGGAAACAGUGGGAAUUUUGCCGAAAUGGGCGAAACCCAAACAGGCCAACGCCGCUGGGUAGAUAAAGGUCUUCGAUUCGUAAACUCCUUUUAUUAGGGAAAAAAAAAAUUUUAAUUAACUUGCCCGCUUUGGACGGUCCCAAACAAAAAAGCCCCGGCAAACUACGU
rnacentral:rRNA from 1 species